rnacentral:rRNA from 1 species
AGUUGCCAUCAGUUCGGCUGGGCACUCUAUGGAGACUGCCACCUAAAGUGGAGGAAGGUGGGGAUGACGUCAAGUCAGCAUGGCCCUUACGUCCGGGGCUACACACGUGCUACAAUGGCCGGUACAAAGGGUUGCGAAGCCGUGAGGUGGAGCGAAUCUCAAAAAGCCGGCCUCAGUUCGGAUUGGAGGCUGCAACUCGCCUCCAUGAAGUCGGAAUCGCUAGUAACCGCAGAUCAGCUACGUUGCGGUGAAUACGUUCCCGGGCCUC